rnacentral:rRNA from 1 species
UACGAAGGGGGCUAGCGUUGUUCGGAAUUACUGGGCGUAAAGGGCGCGUAGGCGGCCGUGCAAGUCAGAUGUGAAAGCCCUGGGCUCAACCCAGGAUGUGCAUUUGAUACUGCAUGGCUAGAGUGUCGGAGAGGAUGGUGGAAUUCCCAGUGUAGAGGUGAAAUUCGUAGAUAUUGGGAAGAACACCGGUGGCGAAGGCGACCAUCUGGACGACAACUGACGCUGAGGCGCGAAAGCGUGGGGAG